UUGCUAGCUUGCUAUAAUUCUCUAGUGGCGCACGGGUGAGUAACACGUGAGUAACCUGCCCCCAAGAGUGGGAUAGCCCCGGGAAACUGGGAUUAAUACCGCAUAAAAUCGCAAGAUUAAAGCAGCAAUGCGCUUGGGGAUGGGCUCGCGUCCUAUUAGUUAGUUGGUGAGGUAACGGCUCACCAAGGCGAUGACGGGUAGCCGGUCUGAGAGGAUGUCCGGCCACACUGGAACUGAGACACGGUCCAGACACCUACGGGUGGCAGCAGUCGAGAAUCAUUCACAAUGGGGGAAACCCUGAUGGUGCGACGCCGCGUGGGGGAAUGAAGGUCUUCGGAUUGUAAACCCCUGUCAUGUGGGAGCAAAUUAAAAAGAUAGUACCACAAGAGGAAGAGACGGCUAACUCUGUGCCAGCAGCCGCGGUAAUACAGAGGUCUCAAGCGUUGUUCGGAAUCACUGGGCGUAAAGCGUGCGUAGGCGGUUUCGUAAGUCGUGUGUGAAAGGCGGGGGCUCAACCCCCGGACUGCACAUGAUACUGCGAGACUAGAGUAAUGGAGGGGGAACCGGAAUUCUCGGUGUAGCAGUGAAAUGCGUAGAUACCGAGAGGAACACUCGUGGCGAAGGCGGGUUCCUGGACAUUAACUGACGCUGAGGCACGAAGGCCAGGGGAGCGAAAGGGAUUAGAUACCCCUGUAGUCCUGGCAGUAAACGGUGCACGCUUGGUGUG
rnacentral:rRNA from 1 species